rnacentral:lncRNA from 10 species
GAAGGAGUUCAUUCUUGCAUUGUCCAUCUGUCACUGAGUGACCUGGUCCUGCGAAGCCCGGCGUGACUGUGCCAACUUUCUCACUUCCUCCAUGGGGCCGGAGAAGAAAAAUGAUAUGAAUGUACAGUGCGCAAGAGGGGGGGCGGGAGGGCGGAGGACGCUGGAGGAGGGGCACGUGACGGUGUCAGCCAAUGGCUGAGCCUCCUGCAAAAGUUUGCCGGCUUCCGCAGUGAUGGAUCACCGUUUUAGUGGCAUUUAAAUCCCCGGCGCUCCGCCGUCUAGGUGACGCGCAGUCGCCCCCCCAGGCAGCCUAGGCGGCGGCAGCUGCUGCGGCGACUGCAAAGGCCGAUUUGGAGUGCUGGAGCGAAGAAGAGCAAAAGCUGCGUUCUGCGCGCGCCCGACUCCGCUGCCCGCCCCGCCAGGCCUCCGGGAGGUGGGGGCUGGGAGGCGUCCCCCGCUCCCGCCCCCUCCCCACCGUUCAAUGAAAGAUGAACUGGCGAGAGAAAGCGUUUGAUUUAUGAGCGUAGGACGAAUCGCAUCCAGGAGCUGCGCAGCCCUGGCCGCUGCCGGGACGCCCUGCUCCGCGCUGAGCUUGGGGCCAGAAACCAGCCAUAGUCCCCACACUCCGCCGCCGCAGCUGAGAUUUAGCGGAGGAAGGGGCGAGGGAAGGUAGGGAGCAAACCUAUGAAGAAACAUCGCGUUGUCAUUGGAACUUCCAAGCCUUUGCUGUUAAGAGCCAGGUUCUUAAAUCAACCCGCCCCACACACAUGUUGCUUACAUGCUGCGUUUUCUCACGGUCUGUUUUGCCUGAACCCAUCAACAGCUGGGAGAUUAAUCAACCACACUGAAAAUGUGGAGGGAUUUAUGGGGGAGGGGGUUGAAAUGUGGGUGUUUGAAACAAAAGUGUAUAAACAAAUGAAUUGUUGAUAACUUAGUUAUUGACCUGGAGACUGGUAGCUUAUUAAAGAAACUCCGUGUUACUCAUUCCUGGAGUUGGGGGUUUCUGUAGGCACUUUAUUUCUCCACUUUCAAGAGCUUGGGCUUGGCCCAAAUCUUAGACUGUCCAAUUCUGCCUCUAUUACCAAUUUAAAUCUAUGGCUUGAACCUGUGCACUGAAAAUCAAAUCCUUUAAAAAGAAAGAGGAGAAGAAGAAGCAAAAAAGAAAGAAAAAACACUUAUUAGAAGCCCUAGUCAUUUUUUGGCUUUCUGUUUUG